GCGACGUCUUUUUCACGACAACCGGAAACCGACACUUCCUGCUUUGCGAGUUUUUGCACUGAGGAGAAAUGUCUCUCUUUUCAACAUCUUUGCUUAAUUUGCCAACUUUUCUUUCGCUGCCGAGGAGGAAAUCGCAGCGGCGAAUUCUCGAACUAAUAAACUUGAAAGGAUAAAAGUUCUUCCAUGAAGAAAAUAUCCUCAGCUGUCAAGACUGCCCACUACUCCCAACUCCAGCUGCCAACUGGUCCUCCUGUACUGGCCCGCACAAGAGAUUUACAAAGAAGGCACAGACAAAGAACACAGGGAAUCCAUCCUGAACCUGCCAGCGAGGUGGUGGUGGUGUGAAAGCCCAAAACUGGUGAAAAGAUGUUUGCACUCCACGCUUUACAGAGCUUUCACAGGACCACUUCCAGAUCCUGACAUCCUGGCAUCGGGAGAAAAACAGCACCAGCUGGCGUCUCAACCACUUAUCACACUUAUCCUAGAGAUGGUCUCUCAGCUUUGGAGCUGGUACCAUCCAGACUUGGGCCUGUGCCACAGGGCUCACUGAGGUCUCACCAGUGCCCACCUGAGAAGUCCUGCGCAGCAUCAUUCUGCACCACAUGGCUCCAGACCUCCCUGCUCUUCCUUCGAUGCUGCAUAGUCUUCCCAACAUGUGUUUUGUGUCCACACUUGAUCAACUUAUGCACCUUCAGUCUCUG